GGCUGGUUAGCUCAGUGGGUUGAGCGUGGUGCUGACAACAAUGACAACACCAAGGUUGCAGGUUCGAUUCCCGCUCGGUCC
rfam:Apaloderma vittatum contig24184, whole genome shotgun sequence.